rnacentral:rRNA from 1 species
GAUUGCAUGACGUCUGUCGAGCUUGCUCACAGGCACAUCAUAUCCAUAACACCUGUGCACUUGUCGGAUGGCUUAGUGAAGACCGCAAGGUUGGAACUAUCCGUCUACUUUACAUAACAAUUCUGUAACAAAUGUAGUCUUAUUAUAACAUAAUAAAACUUUCAACAACGGAUCUCUUGGCUCUCGCAUCGAUGAAGAACGCAGCGAAAUGCGAUAAGUAAUGUGAAUUGCAGAAUUCAGUGAAUCAUCGAAUCUUUGAACGCACCUUGCGCUCCUUGGUAUUCCGAGGAGCAUGCCUGUUUGAGUGUCAUGAAAACCCUCAACCUUAGAUUGGUUAAAACCUUUCUUUGGCUUGGAUUUGGACGUUUGCCGAUGAUAAGUCGGCUCGUCUUAAAAGUAAUAGCUGGAUCUGUCUCGCGACAUGGUUUGACUUGGCGUAAUAAGUAUUUCGCUAAGGACAUCUUCGGAUGGCCGCGUUGCAAGACUAAAGACCGCUUUCUAAUCCAUUGAUCUUCGGAUUAAUAUUCUUGACAUCUGGCCUCAAAUCAGGUAGGACUACCCGCUGAACUUAAGCUAAUCAUAAGCCGGAAGAAAGACUUAAGGAUGACGUCUGUCAGCUUGUCCAGGAAUGUGUCUACACGGAGCUGGGGGGGGUUAGAAACCCGGUGAAUAUCGGCUCUUUAUGAAUUUUGAACAUGAACUUAUAACUAGUAAUUUCACAGGAUUUUUGCUCGCUUAGAAACACGAUGAAUUUUGGAAUCAAUGGAUCCUAUCUUGACGCCUGCUCUAAUACAGACUGUUUGAGGUCACACCCCGUAAGGUUUACUUUGUGUUGAGUGGACUGGCAUAAUACCUCUAUAAAUAGGGGCGCGGGGGGCAGAUUGAGAUGGAUAUGACUAAUCAAAAGACCAUGCCGAACGCGCUGAGAGACAGAACUUCCUCCAUGUUGAUAGGUGAUUUUAGAUGAAGACUGAGCCAGAAGCGCAGAUAAAGCACGGUGGUAAGUUG